rnacentral:misc_RNA from 1 species
AAGUCGUAACAAGGUUUCCGUAGGUGAACCUGCGGAAGGAUCAUUACAUAAUUAAAAACAAUAAAAGUAUGUUGGUCGCUCUGGGUGCGUAAACAACACCUAGGCUUCUACAUAUUUCUAUUUAAACCCUUGUGAACCGUAAUUGACACCUUUGGCGCAGCAUUCAGGUUGCUUGAGCCUCCCUUCGGGGGGCGUUCGGGCAGCUGCCGCGUCAAACGGUACCAAACACAACAAACCAUUUGCACAACUAUAAAGACUUAAUCUAAGAUUUUCUAAUUGAAAUACAACUUUUAACAAUGGAUCUCUUGGCUCUU